UAUAGCAGGGAAUAAUGAAACAAGGCUCUGCCCUCAUGGAGCUUAUUUCAGUCGUAGUGGAAGCAGGGAAGACAAGUGAAAAAAAAAUAAUUUUGUUGCAGAUAAUGUAAGUGAACAAGAUGCUAAAUAGAGACUACUGGUAGAGGAGAGGGAGGCUACUGAAGCAGAAGAACAAUGACUUCCAGGAGACCUGAGCAAGGAGGAGGGCAGCUAUGUGAAGAUCUGGAGGAGUAGUCCAGGCAGAGGGCCCUGAUCUGCAUCAGUCCUGGCCAGUGUGAGGGGCAGGUGGAAGACACAGCAGAUGGCAGAGGACAAAAGGAGAUAGUUUGGAACAUCCUGAAGAGAGCAGAUGGCAAUAGGAAAGGGCAGAUCAAUGCUGUGGAAAGUGGCCUGGUUUGCCCUUGGAUUCUCAGACUCCUGUUCUCUGUUGUUGAGAGUGUUUGCUAGAAACAGAGAUCACAAGUAGGCAGAGAGGCAGGCAGAGAGGGAGGAAGGGAAGC